GCGCUGGUAGCUCAGUGGAUAGAGUACUUGACUACGAAUCAAGGGGUCGGGGGUUCGAAUCCCUCUCAGCGCGCCA
rnacentral:tRNA from 1 species